rnacentral:rRNA from 1 species
AGAGUUUGAUCCUGGCUCAGGAUGAACGCUAGCUACAGGCUUAACACAUGCAAGUCGAGGGGCAGCAUCGCGAUAGCUUGCUAUUGCGGAUGGCGACCGGCGCACGGGUGAGUAACGCGUAUCCAACCUUCCCGCAACUGGGGGAUAACCUUGCGAAAGUAAGACUAAUACCCCAUGGUCUCCAUAGAAGACAUCUGAAAUGGAGUAAAGGUUUCGGCCGGUUGCGGAUGGGGAUGCGUCCGAUUAGCUUGACGGCGGGGUAACGGCCCACCGUGGCAUCGAUCGGUAGGGGUUCUGAGAGGAAGGUCCCCCACAUUGGAACUGAGACACGGUCCAAACUCCUACGGGAGGCAGCAGUGAGGAAUAUUGGUCAAUGGGCGGAAGCCUGAACCAGCCAAGUAGCGUGAAGGACGACUGCCCUAUGGGUUGUAAACUUCUUUUAUGCGGGGAUAAAGUUCGCCACGUGUGGCGUUUUGCAGGUACCGCAUGAAUAAGGACCGGCUAAUUCCGUGCCAGCAGCCGCGGUAAUACGGAAGGUCCAGGCGUUAUCCGGAUUCAUUGGGUUUAAAGGGAGCGUAGGCCGCCUUUUAAGCGUGUUGUGAAAUGUAGGGGCUCAACCCCUGCACUGCAGCGCGAACUGGAGGGCUUGAGUACACACAAAGUAGGCGGAAUUCAUGGUGUAGCGGUGAAAUGCUUAGAUAUCAUGAAGACCCCCGAUUGCGAAGGCAGCUUACUGGAGUGUAACUGACGCUGAAGCUCGGAAGCGCGGGUAUCGAACAGGAUUAGAUACCCUGGUAGUCCGCGCGCUAAACGAUGGAUGCCCCCCUGUUUCCCACUUUGGUAAGCGGCCAAGCGAAAGCGUUAAGCAUCCCACCUGGGGGGUACGCCGGCAACGGUGAAACUCAAAGGAAUUGACGGGGGCCCGCACAAGCGGAGGAACAUGUGGUUUAAUUCGAUGAUACGCGAGGAACCUUACCCGGGCUUGAAUUGCAGGAGAACGAUCCAGAGAUGGUGAGGCCCUUCGGGGCUCCUGUGAAGGUGCUGCAUGGUUGUCGUCAGAUCGUGCCGUGAGGUGUCGGCUUAAGUGCCAUGACGAGCGCAACCCCUUUCCGUAGUUGCCAUCGGGUGAAGCCGGGCACUCUGCGGAUACUGCCACCGUAAGGUGUGAGGAAGGUGGGGAUGACGUCAAAUCAGCACGGCCCUUACGUCCGGGGCUACACACGUGUUACAAUGGGGCAUACAGAAAGCAGCCGGCCGGCAACGUCCGUCUAAUCAUCAAAGUGUCCCCCCCCCCGCCCUGGGGUCUGCAACCGGACCCCACGAAGCUGGAUUCGCUAGUAAUCGCGCAUCAGCCAUGGCCCGGUGAAUACGUUCCCGGCGCCUUGUACACACCGCCCGUCA